CCACACUGACAAUCAGCCAGGGGAAACACAAUUGCCUACUGCUCCCCCACCAGUCAGAACACCCAAGUCAUCUGAUGUACCUCAACCAACACAUGAAAACGCUGGUUCGUUGAAAAUGGGAAAGAAAGCCGAGUUGACAGAGCGUCUUGUCAAACUGCGAGAAGAAGCAAGUGAUGAUCCGAUGAAACAAUUUUUUGUUGACUACUUCGACGCUUCGAUGAACUUACUCGUCUACAAGUUUAGAGGCGACUUGGAGAACCAGAGACGAUCGAAUCAAUAUGAUUUGAAGAAGACCAAG